rnacentral:rRNA from 1 species
GUCCAUUAGGAAGUUAUUAAUGGUCAGGCCUGCUCACUGACUGAUAAGUUAAAGAGCCGCGGUAUGUUGACCGUGCAAAGGUAGCAUAAUCAUUAGUUUUUUAAUUGGGAACUAGUAUGAAUGGUUCGACAAAGGAAAAUCUGUCUCUGUAUUAAAUAUUGAAUUUAACUUUUAAGUGAAAAGGCUUAAAUAAUUCAGGGGGACGAUAAGACCCUAUAAAGCUUUAUAUAUUAUUUGUAUCUGAUUAAAUUAAAGUAUGAAAGAUUAGCUGUAAUUAAUUUAUUUUGUUGGGGCGACAAAGGUAUAAUUUGAGUAACUGCUGUUAAUUAUAAACAGUUAUAAUUGAAGGAAAAGUAAAAGAUCCUUGUUAAAGAUUUAAAAAUCAAGUUACUUUAGGGAUAACAGCGUAAUUUCUUUUGAGAGUUCUUAUCGAAAAAGAAGAUUGCGACCUCGAUGUUGAAUUAAGGUUUCUUUAUUGUGCAGCCGCAAUAAGAAGUGGGUCUGUUCGACCUUUAAAUUCUUACAUGAUUUGAG